rnacentral:rRNA from 1 species
UAUGGAGGGUGCAAGCGUUAUCCGGAUUUACUGGGUUUAAAGGGUGCGUAGGUGGGUAGGUAAGUCAGUGGUGAAAUCUUCGAGCUUAACUCGGAAACUGCCAUUGAUACUAUUUAUCUUGAAUACUUUGGAGGUAAGCGGAAUAUGUCAUGUAGCGGUGAAAUGCUUAGAUAUGACAUAGAACACCAAUUGCGAAGGCAGCUUACUACACAGUCAUUGACACUGAGGCACGAAAGCGUGGGGAUCAAACAGG